GCCCCCGUAGUUUAAUGGAUAGAAUGCUAGAUUGCGGAUCUGGCGAUCCAGGUCCGAUUCCUGGCGGGAGCACCA
rnacentral:tRNA from 2 species